GUUUGAUCAUGGCUCAGGACGAACGCUGGCGGCGUGCCUAAUACAUGCAAGUCGAACGAGCUCUGGUAUUGAUUGGUGCUUGCAUCAUGAUUUACAUUUGAGUGAGUGGCGAACUGGUGAGUAACACGUGGGAAACCUGCCCAGAAGCGGGGGAUAACACCUGGAAACAGAUGCUAAUACCGCAUAACAACUUGGACCGCAUGGUCCGAGCUUGAAAGAUGGCUUCGGCUACCACUUUUGGAUGGUCCCGCGGCGUAUUAGCUAGAUGGUGGGGUAACGGCUCACCAUGGCAAUGAUACGUAGCCGACCUGAGAGGGUAAUCGGCCACAUUGGGACUGAGACACGGCCCAAACUCCUACGGGAGGCAGCAGUAGGGAAUCUUCCACAAUGGACGAAAGUCUGAUGGAGCAACGCCGCGUGAGUGAAGAAGGGUUUCGGCUCGUAAAACUCUGUUGUUAAAGAAGAACAUAUCUGAGAGUAACUGUUCAGGUAUUGACGGUAUUUAACCAGAAAGCCACGGCUAACUACGUGCCAGCAGCCGCGGUAAUACGUAGGUGGCAAGCGUUGUCCGGAUUUAUUGGGCGUAAAGCGAGCGCAGGCGGUUUUUUAAGUCUGAUGUGAAAGCCUUCGGCUCAACCGAAGAAGUGCAUCGGAAACUGGAAAACUUGAGUGCAGAAGAGGACAGUGGAACUCCAUGUGUAGCGGUGAAAUGCGUAGAUAUAUGGAAGAACACCAGUGGCGAAGGCGGCUGUCUGGUCUGUAACUGACGCUGAGGCUCGAAAGUAUGGGUAGCAAACAGGAUUAGAUACCCUGGUAGUCCAUACCGUAAACGAUGAAUGCUAAGUGUUGGAGGGUUUCCGCCCUUCAGUGCUGCAGCUAACGCAUUAAGCAUUCCGCCUGGGGAGUACGGCCGCAAGGCUGAAACUCAAAGGAAUUGACGGGGGCCCGCACAAGCGGUGGAGCAUGUGGUUUAAUUCGAAGCUACGCGAAGAACCUUACCAGGUCUUGACAUACUAUGCAAAUCUAAGAGAUUAGACGUUCCCUUCGGGGACAUGGAUACAGGUGGUGCAUGGUUGUCGUCAGCUCGUGUCGUGAGAUGUUGGGUUAAGUCCCGCAACGAGCGCAACCCUUAUUACCAGUUGCCAGCAUUAAGUUGGGCACUCUGGUGAGACUGCCGGUGACAAACCGGAGGAAGGUGGGG
rnacentral:rRNA from 1 species